AACGUACAUACUAUUUCCUUCAGUGACGUAUAAGAUAAUGAUU
rnacentral:guide_RNA from 1 species